UACGGAGGGUGCAAGCGUUAUCCGGAUUCACUGGGUUUAAAGGGUGCGUAGGUGGGUUGGUAAGUCAGUGGUGAAAUCUCCGGGCUUAACCCGGAAACUGCCGUUGAUACUAUCAAUCUUGAAUAUCGCGUAGGUAAGCGGAAUAUGUCAUGUAGCGGUGAAAUGCUUAGAUAUGACAUAGAACACCAAUUGCGAAGGCAGCUUACUUCACGAUCAUUGACACUGAGGCACGAAAGCGUGGGGAGCAAACAGG
rnacentral:rRNA from 1 species